AAACAUUCCACAUUUUUAAAAAAAAAUCGUUGGUGUAACAUUUUGUUACACAAAUAUGCAAAUAAUAAUAAAAUCAUAUGAGUAAAGACCUCAUUUAAUAAUAUCCAUAUUAAAAGUAUACUAUAAAUUUAUGUUAAUAUUAUUUAAAUUUAAUUAUAUAUCAUAUACAAUAGAUAAGAUUGAUUGUUUUGAUUUAUUUACCCUAAAACGAUUGCGAAUAAACAAGAGCGGUCAUAUGAUUUAUAGACGCACGCCAAUUUAUUGCAUAAUAAUAACUGAUUUCUUAGUUAUUUAAUAUAAAAUUAUUAUUUUAUUAUUUCAUAAUAUGCAGAAAACAUAAAAUAAGUAAUAAAUAUAAAAUAUUUAUUCCGCACAAGGCGUAUAUCUUAACCUAAGUAUGCAUUUCUUUAAUAAUUUUAAAUCUUAAACAUUUUCUAAAUUUCAGGCCAGAAAAAAAUAACGAAAUGAAAAUAAACUCAAAAAUCGAUAUUUAUAUCGAGCAAUAACCAAAAUGAAAAAAAAACGACACAAAAAUGAAAAAAAUAUUGAAGAUAAAUAAGAUUGUCACGUGAACGUAAACUUCUCAUAACCAUAAUUAAAUUUUAAAUUGCUAAAUUAUAAUAUAAAACCGAGCUGAUAUUGUUUCAUUGUAACCAAAUAGUAGACCUGAGAUUCUUCAGCCU
rnacentral:lncRNA from 1 species